rnacentral:lncRNA from 1 species
CUUACCUAAACCUUCUCAUAUUGAAGUCAUCAUUUUGUUAGAAUAUAAGCACUUUCCAUUGCAAUAGUUUGGCAAGAACUGUGCUCACUUACCUUAAUUUUAUAUGGUAUAUAAACCCCUUUGGAAUGAAAUCAAUCUCAGUUAUUGGACAAGUCAAAAAAAUUUGUUCAAUUAAUACUUGAAAGUAACAUUCAGAUUGCAGUCAUAAUUCUUCACUUUCAGUCACUGUAAAGAGAUAAUGUCCUAAAACAGGACCAGGGACAAGAGCACAGAGUGGAGUAAUUUUCUAUAGUCGCUCAGCAGAGAGAAGCACAGGUACAACCCAGGCUCAGAGGCUCUCACAUGGGUAAGCAAUCUUACAGACAUUCCUUCUGUAGCAAGCCCUUGCAAGACUGAUGAAACAAUAUGCUAAUGAAAAAGGCUAUUUCAUUGUAGUUUAUUUAAAAAAUAAAAUAUAAAAAACAGGAUUGUACAGUUGUAUCUAUCAGCAGCUGAUUUUGAGCUCCACUGGGGCUAAAGAAGGAACAAAGCUGUUUCCAACAGCUGCUUUUCAAACAACUAAAUUCAUUUCCUUAUCAGGGCUGAAUUUUAAAGCUCUUAAAACAUCAACUUCCAUCUGAAAAUGAGGGUAGGAACAGCCAAGAAAUUAAAUGAUUUACUAUCAGCCCAUUUUUAUUAGCAGUAUGCCUCCCCGCUGGCAAUGCAACUUAUGAGCCUGGAGCUACUCACUUUUAUUCUGUAAUGGGUUCCUUCCAUGGCCUUCACUUAGAACAGCCAAGAGCAACAGAAGGAGCUUGUGCCUGACCUUUACUCCUAAUAGGAAAGAGAUAAAGCUAUAGCAGUGGUAUCUUGAAGCAGUUUUACAACAUACUACAACAGCUCAUUACAUAUGGCAGGCUGACCUAUAUAUCGAAUAGGUCAGCAUUUCAGGCUACCUGUCUUCAGCCUUCCAGAAUGUCCCCCCUCCUUGUCAUCUCUUGUUCUGCUUUGUUUCUCAUGUUGUUGCUGUGUGUUUUGCUGCAGACAUACUGUGGCAUUCUCUUGUGAACAGCUGUGUCUUUUAUAUCUCCUGUGCAGUCUUGUCACUGUCAAAUUCUCCACAUGCUGUAGUUUCACUUUCAGCACCGAUUAGGUCUAGUAGAAAAUUGUCUCUAGCCAGCAAAUACAAGUUCAGCACAGAUGGGAACUUGGCCUGCAGCCAUUUUAUUGACCUGAAAGGAAGGAGCUUUUCAAAGUUAAACUGA